rnacentral:tRNA from 1 species
UAUAAUUUAGUUUAAGUAAAAUUUUUAUUUUUGAAAUAAAAGAUUGUAAUUAUAAA